UACGUAGGGUGCAAGCGUUAAUCGGAAUUACUGGGCGUAAAGCGUGCGCAGGCGGUUCGUUGUGUCGGCGGUGAAAUCCCCGGGCUCAACCUGGGAAUGGCCGUUGAAACUGGCGAGCUGGAGUGUGGCAGAGGGGGGUGGAAUUCCGCGUGUAGCAGUGAAAUGCGUAGAGAUGCGGAGGAACACCGAUGGCGAAGGCAGCCCCCUGGGCUGACACUGACGCCCAGGCACGAAAGCGUGGGGAGCAAACAGG
rnacentral:rRNA from 1 species